GGUGUGUUAGGCCUCGGGAUGAGGUACCCCAGGCGGCGUGUGUGCGAAGGGAGGAGCGGCGCCAAGGAAAACUUAGGUUUUAGGGUUUUUGAAUUAGUUUAGGUUAUGGGAUGGUAACUUUUGGGUUAUGGUUUGGUUGUAUUAUGGGCUUUGUUUUUUUGUAUUUGGGCCAUUACUGUAAAUGGAUUGUUUUUGAAUUUUAUUAUCUUUUAUUUUUAUUAUUUGGUUUAUUUUUAUCAGCACCGGAUAAAAUUGGC
rnacentral:lncRNA from 1 species